rnacentral:piRNA from 1 species
UGGAGAUGCUUCAACCUCAACUUUUCUAA